UGUGUGUGUGUGUGUGUGUGUGUAUAUAUAUAUAUAUAUGUGUGUGUGUGUGUGUAUGUAUAUAUGCACGCAUGCAUAAAUGCACAUAUC